CCUACGGGAGGCAGCAGUGGGGGAUAUUGCACAAUGGGGGGAACCCUGAUGCAGCGACGCCGCGUGGGUGAAGAAGCGCCUCGGCGCGUAAAGCCCUGUCAGCAGGGAAGAAAAUGACGGUACCUGAAGAAGAAGCCCCGGCUAACUACGUGCCAGCAGCCGCGGUUAUACGUAGGGGGCAAGCGUUAUCCGGAUUUACUGGGUGUAAAGGGGGCGCAGACGGCGAUGCAAGCCAGGAGUGAAAGCCCGGGGCCCAACCCCGGGACUGCUCUUGGAACUGCGUGGCUGGAGUGCAGGAGGGGCAGGCGGAAUUCCUGGUGUAGCGGUGAAAUGCGUAGGUAUCAGGAGGAACCCCGGUGGCGGAGGCGGCCUGCUGGACUGCAACUGACGUUGAGGCCCGAAAGCGUGGGGAGCAAACAGGAUUAGAUACCCUGGUAGUC
rnacentral:rRNA from 1 species